rnacentral:rRNA from 1 species
GAUGAACGCUGGCGGCGUGCUUAACACAUGCAAGUCGAACGAAGCACUUUGAUCGAUUUCUUCGGAUUGAAAUUUUAGUGACUGAGUGGCGGACGGGUGAGUAACGCGUGGGUAACCUGCCUCACACAGGGGGAUCACAGUUGGAAACGGCUGCUAAUCCAGCAUAAGCGACCAGUACCGCCUGGUACGGUGUGAAAACCGCCGGUGGUACGAGAUGGACCCGCGUAUGCUUAGCUAGUUGGCAGGGCAACGGCCUACCAAGGCGACGAUCAGUAGCCAACCUGAGAGGGUGACCGGCCACAUGGGGACUGAGACACGGCCCAAACUCCUACGGGAGGCAGCAGUGGGGAAUAUUGCACAAUGGGGGAAACCCUGAUGCAGCGACGCCGCGUGAGCGAAGAAGUAUUUCGGUAUGUAAAGCUCUAUCAGCAGGGAAGAAGAAAUGACGGUACCGGACUAAGAAGCACCGGCUAAAUACGUGCCAGCCGCCGCAGUAA